AUCCGCCACCAACCCGUCUCCUUUCUGUACUUUCCCGUCCUCUCCUCCCACCCAAACGUUCCUCUCCCGACGGUAUCAGGUCCUGAUCCUGCUCCUCCUACGGUUUCCCACCGCUUCCGCGCCUGAUCCUGCCGCGCACCACCUCGAUUCGCGCCGCCGCCAUGCCUUUGCAGAUCGGAUCUCGCGGUGUGGUUUCAUCCUAGGAGACGAGAGGGAGGAGGGCCAGCCCAAUUCCGGGCAUAUUGGCGUUGAUCGGACUGGAGAUCCUCCAAAUCUGGACCUGGGUUGAUUUGGUUUUUCGGUGGGAACCCUUCCCACCUUGGAUUAAUUUUUAUUUAGGCUUUUCAUUGCGAACGCAUCUUGUCCUUUCCAUGGAUCUCAAAAUUCUGUCCUCCAAUUCUCUUUUGCAUUCCCUUUUCUAGGCUUUUGAUUGUGACUCUAUUUUCGUUCUUGUGAUUGGGAACAUUUAGAUCAGAGAGAGAUCCUCAGAUCCGCGUUCUUGUGAAUUAUAUUUGUCCAAAAAUCUGAUGCACUGAUGUGUUCCUUCGAGAUCAAUUGCAUACAAGAAUACGAAUAAUGCUAGGGUACCUGCUUUUUGGCCUAUUGUACAUUGUAUUGUGUCAAUUCAGUUCGCUAAUCUUCACUAAAAUAUUUCUGCCUGAGGUUUUACUAAACAUAGAGUAAUUUGUUUCAUGUCUGAAUAUUACCCUGUUGUAACUAUUUACUCCUUCCAACCAUUGCAGCAGAAGUAUCUGUGUUCUACCCUUAUUUGCGAAAAUUAACAUAUUUUUGACUUAUUUGUGCUGUCCGAAAUAACAAUUUAGUUACAACAAAGGACAAGUUUGCUAAUGUAUGCUGAUAUCCAUUGCUGUGGGAAUUCUCUCACAGAUACCAUACCAUGGUAACUGCAUUACAGAUUUAUGGAUGCAUGACUGUUACAUUGAAUUUUAGCCAUGUAAUUUUGCGAAAGUAAUUUUUCAUACUUGUAUACACAACAGUCUACAUUUAUUUGACUUAUGAAGCCUUUUUUGCAGGUUGCAGCUAAUAGUAAUUCCAAUUCUUCCUCCAAUCGCUUGUGAGGAGAUACUACUUAUAGUCGGGCAAUCAGGAGGAUGCGCUCACGUAAGAGCAUUUGCUAAUUCUUUUUGUUAUUUACUUGCUGACUAUUGUAGCACACUGUGUUUUCAGAUGCUGGAUAAAUAUUGAUUUGUUUUACUGAAUAUAGCUUAAUACAAGUCUGUUUAAGAGCGAGCUGAUUGUCGAGGAUUAGAGUGAGUUACAUGUCACGCCUUAGUUGCACCUGUUGUUUUAUCAUUUGUAUUUCCACUUCCAUUAGUCUGACUCUGCAGAUUAAAAGCUUCGGUCUUUUUACGGGAAAAGGUCUUCUGGCUAAUCCUUUUCACUUUUGAGCUUACUUUUCAGGAAAUUGAUCCCAAUGGAGAAAAUGACGAUUUUGGAUAUUUGAUGAAAUGCUGAAGCUAUAACCUCCACUUUAUUGUUCAUUUUCUUCCCUCCGCAAAAGAAGUUCCUUAUUUAGCCCAUUUCUCAAUUUCCAAUAACUAUUGGAGUAAUGUUUUUCUCUUACUGCAGGUUAGUUCAAAUCAUGGGUUACUAUGUUGUACUUUUAUACUGCUUCUACAGGGUGUACUUUAAGAUUAAUGCAGUUCCCAACAACACUGGAGAAUGGACUAUUGAAAAUGUUAGACUCAAAUAGAUUCGAUGGUGUGAUAAAUGAUGUAUUCUUUAAGCUUAGGAUAUGUUUUCUCCUCUUUGGAGUAUGAACAAAAAGAGAGGAAUAAUAGCAGCCGAUGUCUUUUUCCUCUUUAGAGUAUGAACAAGAGAGAUUGAAUCUUCUUUUGAACCUUACUCUCCUGUUUUCUUAUUAUGAUGGCAUUUUAUUGAAGGUGAUGGUUCAUGUACAACAUGCAUUAAUUUAUUCUUGAUCUUGUGAUACACAAUAAUUUGCAUCAGUCAACUAUUAGUAUCUUUGAUCUAUCUCCUUUACACCGAACAAGGAUUGAACCGCAGUUGAUUUGUGUUUUUGCGUCUCAACUACUGUACAUCAUCCAAUGUUCUCGAAUACAUGGUCUCUGUGCCUUCUGGUGGAGCGCUAAUAUGAGCAUGGCUUGGUGCUUGGGCUAUUCCUCUUGUCUGGGAGAGACCAGGUCAGAUCACAGUUGGUUCUGCUCAAAUGCAGCUAGAUCAUUUAGAAGAAACCUUAAACCUCUUGAGCACCUGCCAACUCUGUGGGAUUGCAGUCGAAGACGCUCGCCAUGCCACGGUGAACUGCACCAAAGGUGCCAGCGUGCGUCAGGCUAUGCGUGAUCACUGGCCAAUUCUUAUUGAAGAGGCUAGACUGGCUCCUCGUGUUACCGAGUAGCACUGAUGCCUGCAUCAGGGCUAAAUUCCUGCUGAUCCUUUGGCGCGCAUGGCACCUGAGAAAGGAUGUCGUGCAAAAUUCAGGUAAGGAGAGAAUUGCAAAGUCCGUAACUUUCUUACGGACCUAUGUCAAUGGGAAAGAGCUCAGGAUUAUGCCUGAAGACGAUGUCAAAUGAAAAUGGCCACUUCUGAUGACGCUGCAAAGGAGACCGUCGACCUCAGGGCUCCUCAGAUUAGUUCGUGGAAGCCACCGCCACCAGGUUGCUCAAGACCAACACGGAUGCCUCGUUCUUGGGGAACAACAUACCAAGUGGUGUGGGUACCGUUGUCAGGGAUCAUGAGGAUCAGCUUGCUCUCCGAUGCUGAAGCUAAAGCUGCCCUAAUAGGCAUCAGGAUGCUGUCCGGACAUGGGCAUGUGAAGAUUCUUCAGAUCCAUGCAGGAGAAUGUUGAUUGUGAGAGCAUACUGUCAAACUUCUUACAUUGGAAUUCUUCUUAAACAGUAUAUCCAUAUAAGGUACAUAAACGCGGGCAAGUUAUUGUCUUAAAGCAAGUAAUAGUUGAUAUGGAGGAAGAUGUUAUUGGCACAGAAAAGAAAAUCUUAAUAAUCCAUAAAACAGGACAGUUUUUGCAGUUAUCAGCAAUUUUUUGGGCUAUCCUAUCCAGUUUUUGUUUUCUGGUAGGAAAAAAUAGCUUAAUACAACAUGUUUCUGAUAUUUUCAUAGUUAAAAAUAUUGACGCGACCUUAAGUUUUACAACAUGGUUUAGUUAAUGUAAGAUGAAGAUUUCCUGAUAUCAAUGAUUUUACAACAUGGUUUAGUUAUCUGUAGCAGCUGUAGCAUCUUGCUAAUUAGUUCCCUGCACUUCCCACUAAAGUUAUUUAGUUAUCUGUAGCAGCUGUGUCUUGAAUGUUAUUUUGAUGAAAUCAAGAUAAUAUUGUUUGUUAUUUUGAUUUGGUUGUCAAUAGCAGGGGAUAUUGAUAGCGGGGCGACCGACGUCCCUUGAAUGACAGGGUUGCAGCGAAGGUAUACACCAUGUUAAAUGAUUACUGACCAAUAGGUUGUUGCUUGGGUAGGAUCUGGUUUGGGCGGUACUUCAGGUGGAAGUUGAUACAAAGUAGAGCAGUUCCUUCAAGUAAUGGCAAUGGAGAGGUUCAUGAGAAAGGGAAUGUCGUAACAUUUUCUCAAAAGAUAUGUAUCAGCCGUAUAAAAAUGAAAAAUCAACUAUUAUCUCAUGUAGAAAUAUGCUAAAAUAAAUAUGCUAUUUUCCAAAA